rnacentral:rRNA from 1 species
GAUGAACGCUGGCGGCGUGCCUAAUACAUGCAAGUCGAGCGAACGGACGAGAAGCUUGCUCCUCUGAUGUUAGCGGCGGACGGGUGAGUAACACGUGGAUAACCUACCUAUAAGACUGGGAUAACUUCGGGAAACCGUAGCUAAUACCGGAUAAUAUAUUGAACCGCAUGGUUCAAUAGUGAAAGACGGUUUUGCUGUCACUUAUAGAUGGAUCCGCGCUGCAUUAGCUAGUUGGUAAGGUAACGGCUUACCAAGGCAACGAUGCAUAGCCGACCUGAGAGGGUGAUCGGCCACACUGGAACUGAGACACGGUCCAGACUCCUACGGGAGGCAGCAGUAGGGAAUCUUCCGCAAUGGGCGAAAGCCUGACGGAGCAACGCCGCGUGAGUGAUGAAGGUCUUCGGAUCGUAAAACUCUGUUAUUAGGGAAGAACAUAUGUGUAAGUAACUAUGCACGUCUUGACGGUACCUAAUCAGAAAGCCACGGCUAACUACGUG